GAUGAACGCUGGCGGCGUGCCUAACACAUGCAAGUCGAGCGGCAGCGAGGGGUGCUUGCACCCUGUCGGCGAGCGGCGGACGGCUGAGUAACGCGUGGGAACGUGCCCCAAAGUGAGGAAUAACUGCCCGAAAGGGUAGCUAAUACCGCAUAUUAUCUUCGGAUCAAAGGAUUUAUCCGCUUUGGGAGCGGCUCGCGUCGGAUUAGGUAGUUGGUGAGGUAAUGGCUCACCAAGCCGACGAUCCGUAGCUGGUCUGAGAGGAUGACCAGCCAGACUGGAACUGAGACACGGUCCAGACUCCUACGAGAGGCAGCAGUGAGGAAUCUUCCACAAUGGGCGAAAGACUGAUGGAGCAACGCCGCGUGCAGGACGAAGGCCUUCGGGUUGUAAACUGCUUUUAUAAGUGAGGAAUAUGACGGUAACUUAUGAAUAAGGAUCGGCUAACUACGUG
rnacentral:rRNA from 1 species